UGGAAGCUAGUUUGCUCCAACGCAACUGUGUUGGGAGCGUUUCAUCUGGUAGCCUGGAAGCUAGUUUGCUCCAACGCAACUGUGUUGGGAGCGUUUCACCUGGUAGCCUGGAAGCUAGUUGCUCCAACGCAACUGUGUUGGGAGCGUUUCACCUGGUAGCCUGGAAGCUAGUUGCUCCAACGCAACUGUGUUGGGAGCGUUUCACCUGGUAGCUUGGAAGGUAGUUUGCUCCAACGCAACUGUGUUGGGAGCCUUUCGCCUGGUAGCUAACCUGUGUGUUGUAUUUAUUCAUAUUACUUAAUUGUCUAGCAUCUGCAUCAGCUAGCUAUAGCUGCUGUAUACGGGGAAUGGGUUAGCCUAGCGAUUUUUAGUACUUGCAAUUGGUCCUAUGAACAUCAACACCGGCAAAUUCAGAUUUGUAGUACUGCAAAUUUAAAUUUUUGACAAAUUUUCCAUUUCAAUAUUUUGUCAAAUUUCACAAAGUCCAUUCCCAGAUAUGUACGAACUUCAGCAAUGGAGGCAAGUAAGGUUUAUCACUUUCUAUGGCAAUUUACUUGAGUUAAAUUAUUUGCUCUAUAAAAACAUAUGGUUCUCACUGUACCAUAAUCAUCUUGCUAGAUAUGCCUCAUGCUGUCCUUUAUAUUACUUAUUUGCAAGGAAUUUAAGCAUUGACAAUUAUUUAUGAACGUUGAACCAUGAAAGAAUUGAAUUAUUUUUGUUCAGGGGUGGGUUUGCCCCUGUACAUUUAUUUCAAGAUCAGUGUUCUACAGCGUUUGUCAAAUUCAGGACUGGCGCUGGAAGCUGUAGGUGGAGGGAAGACCAGGAAUGGUGCCGCUCUGCAGAUGCUGAAGGUGUGCCAAAGGGUCACGUGUGUUCCUGAAGGGACUGAGGCGACGCAGUCGGAGGUCCCUGCGGUGGCGGUCAGCGGGAGGUGUCAAGACCAACCAGCUCCUCGUCCAGGAAAGGGGAUUUCUUCAGACUGUUCUUCAAAGGUUCAAUAAAGUCACGAUGGAAGAGCAGAUGGCUGUGCAGUUGCCAUGGUGGAGAGACCCAGAGUAUGAUGACCGAACAGUUGAUCUACAACGAUGGCCUACUCCCCAUCCACCCUGAGGAUCCCUGGCUACACCUACAAUCCAAUCUACCCCAGACAUAACCACUCGGAGCUCAACAACUCCUACAACUCCUCCUGCCUCCUACACACCAUACUGUUACCACUUUACCAUUUUACUUAAAAAAAAAAGUACUGUAAUUCACACCAUGUUGUAGGAAAAGCAUGUUUAGCUCAAUGAUUUAUACAUUCUAUUUCUGUGACCCCAACUAUUGUAUUUCUAACCCAGUUACCUCGUAACCCUCUUUCUAAGGGAGCGACUAAAGGGACAAAGCUGGAGCAAACCUGAGCUUAACAAUCUUUCUAAUCUUUCUUUCAAAUGUCCUAAAUUGAAACAUAUAAAAUGCCUAAAGUAACUUGUCUAACAAAACAAAAAGCCAACCUAAUACCCAAACUUAACCAUCUAACUAAAGAUCUCAAAUGCCUAAACUCUCUUACCUUAACCGAGUACCUAAACCGAACCAUUUAACUAAACAUCUCAAAGGCCUAAACUCGCUUACCUCAACCUAACCUAAUACCCAAACUUAACCAUCUAACUGAAGAGCUCAAACACCUAAACUCUUACCUUAACCUAGUACCUAAACUGAACCAUCUAACUAAACAUCUGAAAGGCCUAAACUCGCUUACCUCAACCUAACCUAAUACCCAAACUUGACCAUCUAACUUAAAAGCCCAAAUGGUUAAACUCUUACCCUAACCUGGUACCUAAACUUGACAAUCUAACUAAGCAUCUCUAAUAACUAAACUCUUUCCUAAUACCUAAACAAUCUUUAAUACAAUCACUAAUGCCUAAACUUAAACAAACACCAAUACUAAAAGUUAACCAUCCUUAAUCUUAAACCCAAACCAGACUUGUCCCUGGGUCGCUCCACUUUGUUUCUUUAAAGGCAUCUCUUUUCCCCUGCAUCUGUGUUUUAUUCCUUGAGGACUUCAGGUGGGGUGCCAUACAGUGUUGCAUGGGUUCUUGGGUCAAUUGUGGCACCCAUUGCACUCCUGACCAUCCCUGGAAGAAGGGAUCCCCUCCACUGCGUUUCUUCUCAAGAUUUCUUCCUUGCUGAUUCAAGGGAGUUUUUUCUUGCCCGUGUGGGGGCAUGGGUAAAGGGGGGUGUCACAAAUAUUUGGCCUGUUAAGCCCUUUGAGACUGUAAUGGUGAUUAAGGACUAUACAAAUAAAAUUGAAUUGAAUUGAAUAAAGAUACUUCAUCUUUACAGAUUUUGUUUUGGGGAAUUGGGACAGCUGAGCAGCUUAAGCAUCCUUACUGGUGAAUCUGAUCUGACGAUAUCAAUCAUAGGACUAUGAAGCUGCAGAGUUCUUCCAAGAAAGGGUUCCAAUCCAGGAUAGCUUUUAACACACUUUAUUUGUUAAAGUAUUUCGGUAUGGUAACUACGGAGCAAAAGGAGGUGGAAGCGUGUUGAACACGUGCUGAGCGUCUCCCUGCUGAUCAAAAACAUUAACCCUUUGUCUGGUAGCAGCUAGAAGAUUCUGAAGUCCAACUUCUCUGUCGAGAUUGAACUGAAAUGCAAUGCACAACAUGCAAUUUGUCCUUACCUCAAUUUUUAAAACUUUUAAUAUUUUUUAUUAUUACUAUUUAUUGUGCUGCGCCCUCUCGCUCUCUCUCGAUCUCUCUCUGUAUUAAUACUGUACUUGACUUGGGAAGCCCUGCACAAGAAUUCCAAUGUGUUUGAACUGUCUGGUUUAUGCACAAAUGGCGAAUAAAAACCUUUGAACCUUU